rnacentral:rRNA from 1 species
UACGGGGGGGGCAAGCGUUGUUCGGAAUUACUGGGCGUAAAGGGCUCGUAGGCGGCCAACUAAGUCGGACGUGAAAUCCCUCGGCUUAACCGGGGAACUGCGUCCGAUACUGGAUGGCUUGAGUAUGGGAGAGGGAUGCGGAAUUCCAGGUGUAGCGGUGAAAUGCGUAGAUAUCUGGAGGAACACCGGUGGCGAAGGCGGCAUCCUGGACCAUUACUGACGCUGAGGAACGAAAGCCAGGGGAGCGAAUGGG